rnacentral:rRNA from 1 species
CGCGAACGCUGGCGGCAUGCUUAACACAUGCAAGUCGCACGGGAGGGGCAACCCUUCAGUGGCGGACGGGUGAGUAACGCGUAGGUAUCUGUCUCUGGGUGGGGGAUAACCAUGGGAAACUAUGGCUAAUACCGCAUGAAGCCUGAGGGCCAAAGCAGCGAUGCGCCUGGAGAGGAGCCUGCGUACGAUUAGCUAGUUGGUGGGGUAAAGCCCACAAGGCGACGAUCGUUAGCUGGUCUGAGAGGAUGAUCAGCCACACUGGGACUGAGA